rnacentral:rRNA from 1 species
GAUGAACGCUGACAGAAUGCUUAACACAUGCAAGUCAACUUGAACUUCGGUUUGGGUGGCGGACGGGUGAGUAACGCGUAAAGAACUUGCCUCACAGAUAGGGACAACAUUUGGAAACGAAUGCUAAUACCUGAUAUUAUGAUUUUAGGGCAUCCUAGGAUUAUGAAAGCUAUAUGCGCUGUGAGAGAGCUUUGCGUCCCAUUAGCUAGUUGGAGAGGUAACGGCUCACCAAGGCGAUGAUGGGUAGCCGGCCUGAGAGGGUGAUCGGCCACAAGGGGACGGAGACACGGCCCUUACUCCUACGGGAGGCAGCAGUGGGGAAUAUUGGACAAUGGACCAAGAGUCUGAUCCAGCAAUUCUGUGUGCACGAUGAAGUUUUUCGGAAUGUAAAGUGCUUUCAGUUGGGAAGAAAAAAAUGACGGUACCAACAGAAGAAGUGACGGCUAAAUACGUG